GCCUACGGGGGGCAGCAGUGAGGAAUAUUGGUCAAUGGCCGGAAGGCUGAACCAGCCAAGCCGCGUGAAGGACGAAGGUGCCAAGCAUUGUAAACUUCUUUUGUCAAGGGACAAAAUCAGGCUCGAGAGCCUGACCGAGGGUACUUGAAGAAAAAGCAUCGGCUAACUCCGUGCCAGCAGCCGCGGUAAUACGGAGGAUGCGAGCGUUAUCCGGAUUUAUUGGGUUUAAAGGGUGCGUGGGCGGGCUGUUAAGUCAGCGGUAAAAGCCCGGGGCUCAACCCCAGCGAGCCGUUGAAACUGGCUGU
rnacentral:rRNA from 1 species